GGAGCUGAUUUCGACGCCGGUGGGCGGGCUUAGGCCUGGGGAAGUAGAAAAAAUAAUAAAUAAAUAAAUAAAUAAAUAAACAAAUAAAUAAAGCCGGGAGCGUCACCCGGGCAAUGGAGGAACCAGAAGCGCGGGAACGUUGUUGCUGAUGAAGGGCUAGGAAAGCGUUUGGGUCGCAGAGGAAAUACCUGCCAGCGUAGAGACGUGUCCGCGGAACCCAGGAAGUGGUGAGUGUGGCAGUGGGUCCCGGGAUAUCGAAGAACACACCUUCAGCCUCUGGGAGAGCACACAUCCAAGGCCUGACGAGCCCCAGCAGAGAGAGAGAAGCAGAGAGGCAGAGGGAGAAGCAGGCUCCAUGCAGGAAGCCCGACGCAGGACUCGAUCCGGGACUCCAGGAUCACGCCCUGGGUGGAAGGCAGCGCUAAAUCCCUGAGCCACCCGGACUGCCCUUAAAGUCUCUUUACACAAUCGAAUCAAAAUCAGUUUCAAUCAAGGGUACAUGUUCUUUUUUUUUUUUUUAAGAUUUAUUUAUUUAUGAUAGACAGAGAGAGAGAGAGGCAGAGACAGGCUCCAUGCCGGGAGCCCGAUGUGGGACUUGAUCCUGGGACUCCAGGAUCGCGCCCUGGGCCAAAGGCAGGCGCUAAACCGCUGAGCCACCCAGGGAUCCCCAAGGAUACAUGUUCUAAAAUACUUUUUUUUUUCCAUUUCCCCUUUCCUCCAUACACACUAUCAACACCCUAACCCAAGCUACCAUCACCUCUGGCCUGGAAUUUCUCAGUAGACUUCUAACCAAAUUUUCCUGAAUCCACUGCUCUCUUUUAGGAUGCCAAGGUGAUAUUGAUAGAAUAUCUUUGUAGUCAUAUGACAACUAACCUCCCAGCCCCUCCAGCUUAAAACACUGCAAUGGUAAAUAAAUCUUUUUUAAAAAGAGGGGGGCGCCUGGGUGGCUCAGUCCGUUAAGCUUCUGGUUCUUCAUUUCUGUUCAGGUCAUGAUAUUGGCAUCAUGGGAUUGAGCUCUGUACUCAGUGUGGAGUCUGAUUGAAUUUCUCUCUCUCCCUCUCCCUUCUAAAAUAAAUAAGUAAAUCUUUAAAAUAAAUAAAAAACACUGCAGUGGUUUCCCAUUGUUCCUAAUAUUGGCCUUCCUUCUUCCUCUGUAUAGCCACCAGGCCUUUGUGCAUGCACUUUGCCUCCCUAGAACCCUGUUUUCUCCCAAGUUAAAGCACAGAACAAUAAUCCAAGUUUCCCAACUCCCAGGCUGACUGUCUAUAAUGCAGGUAUAUUACUGGGGACUAAUAAUUAUCCAGCAGGAAGAAAAUAUGAUUUGGAGGUUCAAAAUAAGGGUAAGAGUGUGGGCUUUGGAGCCAGUCGGCCUGAGUUCCAAUCCUGGUUCUGUUCUGUACUAACCAUGUAAACUUGGGCAACUUGUUUAGCAUCCUUGCUUUAUUUCUUCUGUUGUAUCAUGAGCAGUAAAGGUACCUACCUUACACAGUUGUAUUAUCUAAAUAAGUUAACACAUGGAAAGGAGCUCAAUAAAUGUUCACUUUAGGAAGUCUCCACUAUAGAUUAAGGACCCUCUCUCUAAAAUAAAUAUUCUUAGGUAAAGAAUAAAAUCAACCUUGUUGAUAUUCUCUUGUUUUCUUGGAGAAAAACAGACACAGCAAACAACUGGCAGGCCCUCCUAGGGCAGGGAAAGGCUGGUCCCAGCAGAUAAGCCUUCAGGGACUGCACUACAUAGGGGAAGGCAUACGAUUACUAAUUGAAAACAAGUCCCAGGCCCCAGGUGCUAGUGCGUUGAGAUAACAUGAAGCCUAGGGGUUUUUAAAAAUACAGA